rnacentral:rRNA from 1 species
AUUGAACGCUGGCGGCAGGCCUAACACAUGCAAGUCGAACGAGUGGCGGACGGGUGAGUAAUGUCUGGGAAACUGCCUGAUGGAGGGGGAUAACUACUGGAAACGGUAGCUAAUACCGCAUACCAUCGGAUGUGCCCAGAUGGGAUUAGCUAGUAGGUGGGGUAAAGGCUCACCUUGGCGACGAUCCCUAGCUGGUCUGAGAGGCUGACCAGCCACACUGGGACUGAGACACGGUCCAGACUCCUACGGGAGGCAGCAGUGGGGAAUAUUGGGCAAUGGGCGCAAGCCUGAUGCAGCCACGCCGCGUGUAUGAAGAAGGCCUUCGGGUUGUAAAGUACUUUUAGCAGGGAGGCGUUACCCGCAGAAGAAGCACCGGCUAACUCCGUGCCAGCCGCCGCGGUAAUAC